AAACACAAAAGAGACAAGCAUGCAAUGGAUGUUAUGAAAUUGAAUUGAUCGCGCAAGAAGCCUGCAACAAGGGGACCAAUAAUCAUACCUAAAGAAUAGACAAUAUUAUAGGCACUAAAGAGCUGAGUAUAGGGUCCGUUAUGCCCAAAAAAAGUGGGAUGUUCGAGCUCAUAUUCAGCAACGUAAUGAGAAGAUUGAACAAAACCGGGGGAUGAUGUGAAUGCCAAAACCACUCCAUUAAUAGCCAGGAAAGCAGAGAACAAAUAAAUGUUAAGACUAGUAUUUGUUCGAGGAAUACACAAGAGGAACAACGUACAUCCCAAAAUAGCAUACGCACGCUUACCUAUAGUACGAGAACCACGGCGAUCAACCAUUGCACCAGCCCAAGCACCACAAAAAAAAUAUGGUGUACUCAACACUCCAAACAUAAGACCACAUUGGAGCGAAUUAAAGUCAAAAAGCGUUUUCAGCUCUAAAGGAAUAGUAGCAUCAAAGGCAGAGAAAAGGCACGAAUUGACGAAACUAGUCCAGAAUGGACCAAAGAUUUGUUUAUGAUGUAACAAGGAGUAGAUAGGUAGGCA